rnacentral:rRNA from 1 species
UAGGAAUACCUAAUUGUGCUAAAAAUUUUUAGUGCAAAAUCGACUAUGUCGAAUAAAAUUCUAGAUAGAACUAUGAUAAUGACAUUAUCUAUCUAUAAGUCUUGACCAAAUUACGUGCCAGCAGUCGCGGUAAUACGUAAAAGACUAGUGUUAUUCAUCUUUAAUAGGUUUAAAGGGUACUUAGACGGUAAAUAAAGCCUGAGAGGGGACUCAUUUGCUAGAGUUAAAUAUGAGGGAGUUUUAAAGUACUUUUGGUGUAGAGAUGAAAUUUUAUGAUACCAUUAUGGCACAGGUUUAGGCGAAAGCAUCUUCUUAUGUAAUAACUGACGUUGAAGGACGAAGGCUUUGUAUCUCGAACAGGAUUAGAUACCCUAGUAGUCUAAGCAGACAAUGAUGAAUGUCAUAGAUUAGAUUUAGUUUAGUCUAUAAAUGAAAGUGUAAGCAUUCCACCUCAAGAGUAAUUUGGCAACAUUGGAACUGAAAUCAUUAGACCGUUUCUGACACCAGUAGUGAAGUAUGUUGUUUAAUUUGAUAAUCCGCAAACAACCUUACCACAAUUUGAAUAUAUAAUACAAGCGUUGCACGGCUGUCUUCAGUUAAUGUCGUGAGACUUUGGUUAGUUCCAUUAAAUUAACGCAAACCCUUGCUUUAUUUAAUAAUAAAGUAGUUCGCCACUAUAUU